CUGAUCCCUCUCUUCUCGUCCCAAAUUCAUCUCCGCUGACUCUCUCUCCCUCCUCUGCUCGUUAUCGCCACCGACUUCCACUGCCGGUGCGUUGUCUUCCCGAUCAUCUCCAACUGAGCUUUUCAUCCGAAUCCCCUACCCUAGCUCCAGAUCCACGCCAUCCUACCCUGAUUCGCCAAAGCAACUGUCUCAAAAUAGUUGUCGGCCCCUGCUUCUCUUGGCUAAUCGACACUACCACUGUUGAUCCCCUACGUUGUCGGUCCGGCACAAACGUCGCCUUCUCCUUACAAGCAACUCGAGCCGGCACCAUCUCCCUUUCUGUCCACGUGACGUUGGAUCCGUGCCCUAGCUUCAACCUAUCGCCGUCGCACCGCAACACCUCCCACCGUGGAGUCCCUGUUCUGGACUGAGGGGCAAUCGCCCUAUCGCCUCCGCCCCGUGGCUACCACAGCUGGAUGCAGCCAGCAUAGCCAAUCGUUGUCGCCUUACCUUCGCUUCGGCCACCACAGUCAUGGCGGUUGGACACGUCCAGACAUGAUUAGGUCGCGACCAUCACAGCAAGCUCAUGGCAACUAUGGUCAAUUGAUUAUGCUAGUAGCUCCUACUCAUUGCCACCCUAUCUCCCUGACCCAGUGUCUCUGCUGGUCAUAGUGAGGCGCUACUGGAGCAAUGUUGACCACUAGAAAAGAACAGAAGAACCUGCAGGAAUUGGAUGCGGCUUACUGGACAUCCUUGUUGAUUUGGGUUAAUUAAUCUGGUUGAGGAGAUUAACUUCACUCAAUUGAGUAUAUGGUGAUGCAGAACAUUGAUACGAAAUAAGCACUUUGACGUGGGAUUGUGUAGCAUGAUUGACAGAUAAAGAUAGGGAACAAGUAGAGGAUUUAUGGAGUCGCUUAGAGGUCUUGUCCACCAAUUUCAUGACACAUCGAGCGAUUUCUUUCAUUAUUGCUUCAUCUCACAUUAUUGAUUUUGUACUUAUACUUGUAAUAUGUAUCCUCUGUAUGGAUUUUUGGAUUUUUGGAUUUCUGGCGUCUUUUUAUUUGGUUAUGUACUUGUUAUGUCAAGUCGGGCCGGCUCACAGUCAAUUGUGUUAUUUUUA